UACGGGGGGGGCAAGCGUUGUUCGGAAUUACUGGGCGUAAAGGGCUUGUAGGUGGCCAACUAAGUCAGACGUGAAAUCCCUCGGCUUAACCGGGGAACUGCGUCUGAUACUGGAUGGCUUGAGUUUGGGAGAGGGAUGCGGAAUCCCAGGUGUAGCGGUAGAAAUGCGUAGAUAUCUGGAGGAACACCGGUGGCGAAGGCGGCAUCCUGGACCAAGACUGACACUGAAAAGCGAAAGCCAGGGGAGCAAACGGG
rnacentral:rRNA from 1 species